UGCGGGUAAACUCUUGGAGCACAGUCGUGUCUCAUCGCUUGGAAGGUGUAACACGUGUCUACCUUACGUUCAAAUUUUCUCCACUUUAUUCAAAUCAUAAAAUUGUAAAUUACUUUUUUAAUUCAUUUAUUUACAUAACAAUCAGUAAAUUCACGUGUACAUCAUAUUCAUAAAUUAAUUAAGAGUGCAAUUUUAAAUUUACUCCAACUCCAACUUGAGUGCGGAAAUGAAAGUUAUUUAUUCAAACAAUACAUCAAUAGGAAAUGAAUAAUGAUGUUAUUGGAAAUAAUUAUUAUUGGAAGGAAGUUUAUUAAUUUUCUAUUUAUUUUUUACAAUUGAUACAUACAUAUAUUUAUUAUAUUAUUAUUAGUGGAUAAUAUAAUAACGUUAUUAUUACAGUAGAGAAUACAUUGUUGAUCUGUAUUUUAAUGACUUGCGAAAAAAUAUAUAUGAUUGAAACGGAAACAGGCAUAUAGUCAUGCUGAUAUGUGUACACAAUUCUUUAGCUAUUACUGUAUGCAUUACUCUCUGUGUUGUAUAGAUGUAAAUAAAACCGAUUUGUGACGUUAAAAAUACCUUGAAUUGUACAAUAUAUAUCACAUGACAGUAUCAGCGAUAGGUACAAUUGUUAAAAGUUUUUUUAAAAAUAUUUUAACAAAAUAAAUUACGAUGACACACUUUAACAAUACCUCAUAUUUCCGUUAUACGAAAAUAAUAAAUAUUAAAAUUACUACCGAGAAGUUUAUUAUUUUUAUGAUAAUACAUAUUUCGGUAUUGCCAUGAGUAUACAGAAAUUUUUUAAAUAUUUUUACUA